AAAUAUUAAUAGGUUUGUGCUCUAUGUAACUGUCUGCUCUCCUUCUGCCCCAAGUCCCUGGGAACCAGCUGAGAUGAAGUACAGUGACUGGGUAUGACCACUGCUACAGAAUAAAGAACAAGCAAGAAUUAAGUUUUAACCUGGAAGUUAUUGAUCAUACAAUUUGUGGACCUUAAACUGUUUCAGUAUUUUAAAUUUAAUAUGUCACCUCAAGUCCUCAGAACAGGUCUGAAUAA
rnacentral:lncRNA from 1 species